rnacentral:rRNA from 1 species
AUUGAACGCUGGCGGCAGGCUUAACACAUGCAAGUCGAGCGGAGGUGAGGUGCUUGCACCUUAUCUUAGCGGCGGACGGGUGAGUAAUGCUUAGGAAUCUGCCUAUUAGUGGGGGACAACAUUCCGAAAGGAAUGCUAAUACCGCAUACGCCCUACGGGGGAAAGCAGGGGAUCUUCGGACCUUGCGCUAAUAGAUGAGCCUAAGUCGGAUUAGCUAGUUGGUGGGGUAAAGGCCUACCAAGGCGACGAUCUGUAGCGGGUCUGAGAGGAUGAUCCGCCACACUGGGACGGGGAGACGGCCCAGACUCCGACGGGAGGCAGCAGUGGGGAAUAUUGGACAAUGGGCGGAAGCCUGAUCCAGCCAUGCCGCGUGUGUGAAGAAGGCCUUUUGGUUGUAAAGCACUUUAAGCGAGGAGGAGGCUACCUGGAUUAAUACUCUAGGAUAGUGGACGUUACUCGCAGAAUAAGCACCGGCUAACUCUGUGCCAGCCGCCGCGGUAAGAC